rnacentral:rRNA from 1 species
AGCUGCGGCAAUGUCUUUUAGACAUUGGGUAGGGGAGCGUUCUGUAAGCCGUUGAAGGUGAAUCGUAAGGUUUGCUGGAGGUAUCAGAAGUGCGAAUGCUGACAUGAGUAACGACAAAGGGGGUGAAAAACCUCCUCGCCGGAAGACCAAGGGUUCCUGUCCAACGUUAAUCGGGGCAGGGUGAGUCGACCCCUAAGGUGAGGCCGAAAGGCGUAAUCGAUGGGAAACGGGUUAAUAUUCCCGUACUUCUGACUAUUGCGAUGGGGGGACGGAGAAGGCUAGGUGGGCCAGGCGACGGUUGUCCUGGUUCAAGUGCGUAGGCUUGAGAGUUAGGUAAAUCCGGCUCUCUCUAAGGCUGAGACACGACGUCGAGCUACUACGGUAGUGAAGUCAUUGAUGCCAUGCUUCCAGGAAAAGCCUCUAAGCUUCAGAUAGUCAGGAAUCGUACCCCAAACCGACACAGGUGGUCGGGUAGAGAAUACCAAGGCGCUUGAGAGAACUCGGGUGAAGGAACUAGGCAAAAUGGUACCGUAACUUCGGGAGAAGGUACGCUCUUGAUGGUGAAGUCCCUCGCGGAUGGAGCUGACGAGAGUCGCAGAUACCAGGUGGCUGCAACUGUUUAUUAAAAACACAGCACUGUGCAAAAUCGCAAGAUGACGUAUACGGUGUGACGCCUGCCCGGUGCCGGAAGGUUAAUUGAUGGGGUUAGCGCAAGCGAAGCUCUUGAUCGAAGCCCCGGUAAACGGCGGCCGUAACUAUAACGGUCCUAAGGUAGCGAAAUUCCUUGUCGGGUAAGUUCCGACCUGCACGAAUGGCGUAAUGAUGGCCACGCUGUCUCCACCCGAGACUCAGUGAAAUUGAAAUCGCUGUGAAGAUGCAGUGUACCCGCGGCUAGACGGAAAGACCCCGUGAACCUUUACUACAGCUUGGCACUGAACAUUGAACCUACAUGUGUAGGAUAGGUGGGAGGCUAUGAAGACGUGACGCCAGUUGCGUUGGAGCCGUCCUUGAAAUACCACCCUUGUAUGUUUGAUGUUCUAACUUAGACCCAUUAUCUGGGUUGAGGACAGUGCCUGGUGGGUAGUUUGACUGGGGCGGUCUCCUCCCAAAGAGUAACGGAGGAGCACGAAGGUGGGCUAAUCACGGUUGGACAUCGUGAGGUUAGUGCAAUGGCAUAAGCCCGCUUAACUGCGAGAAUGACGGUUCGAGCAGGUGCGAAAGCAGGUCAUAGUGAUCCGGUGGUUCUGUAUGGAAGGGCCAUCGCUCAACGGAUAAAAGGUACUCCGGGGAUAACAGGCUGAUACCGCCCAAGAGUUCAUAUCGACGGCGGUGUUUGGCACCUCGAUGUCGGCUCAUCACAUCCUGGGGCUGAAGUCGGUCCCAAGGGUAUGGCUGUUCGCCAUUUAAAGUGGUACGCGAGCUGGGUUUAGAACGUCGUGAGACAGUUCGGUCCCUAUCUGCCGUGGGCGUGGAAGAUUGAAGGGGGCUGCUCCUAGUACGAGAGGACCGGAGUGGACGAACCUCUGGUGUUCGGGUUGUGUCGCCAGACGCAUUGCCCGGUAGCUAAGUUCGGAAUUGAUAAGCGCUGAAAGCAUCUAAGCGCGAAGCGAGCCCUGAGAUGAGUCUUCCCUGACAGUUUAACUGUCCUAAAGGGUUGU